AACCAUAAAAGAAAUCAGGUAGGAUGAUAGCACAAGGUUAGAUGAAAAUGAUGAGAGAAGAGCAAAGUAACAAAAGAGCAGGAAAUGCAGAGAAAGAUAAUAAGUUAACAGCAACUCUCUUGAGGUCAUAAGGCAUAGAAAGUCACAGAAGACUUUGAACAGAAAAGAGAGUGACUUUAGGAAGUUGCAUCUGGAAGCCAUCAACUGAAUGGAUUGCAACGAGAGCGAGAUGAAGGCAGACUUCUUCACUAACUCUUCACUCCCCUUGAUUUCUUCAUGAGCCACCGCCACUGAGAAACACCAUCAGUACUUCACAGGUGCAGAACAUGGAUUUUUGCCUACAAGUACUGCAGUCAAUCAAUCAAUAAAUUACCAACCAUAAAAUGGAGGCUCCUGAGUACAGUAUUUUCUUUGCCUUAGGUGGCUCACAGGAUAUAUGCCAGUAUACAGAAGAGAAACUUUUACUGGACCACAAGAACAUCUAAGCCAGAUCUGAGUUCACUACCAUAGAAUUUGCGUGUGCCUUUUUGCCCUUUGUCUAUGCUCUUUGGUCAAGCAUCACAUCAAAUCUUUUGCCCAUUUUCUGAAUUAU